AUCCCAAAAAAAUAAAAAAAAUGAGGAAAACUGACCGCCUUCUUCUCCAUUCCAAUCAUCUUCACCAAACAAAAUCUUGAGUCCUUUUUAUCAAGAAAGGAAGAAUUGUGUACGUGAUAAACUCGAAGCGAAGUAGAGAACAAUAUUAAUAAGGAAAUUCGUAAAAACUACAGUCAACCAGCAAAGCUGCAAAAGUUAUGGCGAAAUCCGAUUGCCCAACCACAGGUUCUGCCUCUUUGUCUUCUUCUUAUGCUUAUGUUGGCCAAUCCAUGCUUCCAUUCCGGUAUGGUUUCUCACUUCUCUGUCUUUUCAUUGAUUUCUCAGUCAGAAGCUUCAUUUUCUGGUCGACGACAAAUGCUUCAAUUGGUUUAUUAAGCAACAGACCUUCGACUGGUAGCCGGCGACGCCAGAUGUUGAUGAAUCGAUCUGACUGUUAAGGUAAUUCAGUUCUGGCAAUAUCAUAUAUAUGUAUCAUGUCUUAAUUUCUAUCUGCUGAAUCUUAUGUCCUUGGAUUUAUCAUUUAUAACUGAGGGUGAGUCGGUCGGGCCAUUUUGAUGGGAAGGGAUAGAUGUGGAAAAAUAAUACUUUGCCAUCUAAAGUUGGUUAAAAAUUCUGCCUAACCA
rnacentral:lncRNA from 1 species